rnacentral:rRNA from 1 species
UAAUACGUAGGGACCAAGCGUUGUUCGGAUUUACUGGGCGUAAAGGGCGCGUAGGCGGCAUGGCAAGUCACUUGUGAAAUCUCCGAGCUUAACUCGGAACGGCCAAGUGAUACUGCCGCGCUAGAGUGCGGAAGGGGCAAUCGGAAUUCUUGGUGUAGCGGUGAAAUGCUUAGAUAUCAAGAGGAACACCUGAGGUGAAGACGGGUUGCUGGGCCGACACUGACGCUGAGGCGCGAAAGCCAGGGGAGCAAACGGG